rnacentral:rRNA from 1 species
AAGUCGUAACAAGGUCUCCGUAGGUGAACUGCGGAGGGAUCAUUACCGAGAGAGGGCGCCCGCGCGCCGACCUCCAACCUCUGUCGACGUACCGCGUUGCCUCGGGCGCCUCGCGGGCGCCCCAGAGGACACCAAUCGAACUCUGCAUCUCAUGCGUCGGAGUCAUUAUGUGAAUCAAUCAAAACUUUCAACAACGGAUCUCUUGGUUCUGGCAUCGAUGAAGAACGCAGCGAAAUGCGAUAAGUAAUGUGAAUUGCAGAAUUCAGUGAAUCAUCGAAUCUUUGAACGCACAUUGCGCCCCCUGGCAUUCGAGGGCAUGCCGUUCGAGCGUCAUUACACCACUUAAGCCUGGCUUGGUAUUGGGCGGCGGGACCCCCCGCGCCUCUAAUGUGUCGGCUGGACGGUCUGAAUCUCAGCGUUGUGAAUCAAUUCGCUGGCGGGACGACCGACGCGCGUUAAACUUCAUCACAGGUUGACCUCGGAUCGGGUAGGAUACCCGCUGAACUUAA